GAGCACGUAGGUGGGUUUGUAAGUCAGAUGUGAAAGCCUUCUGUUCAACGGAAGAAUUGCAUCUGAAACUGCAAACCUUGAGUAUAGGAGGGGGGAAUGGAACUUCUGGUGGAGCGGUGAAAUGCGUAGAUAUCAGAAGGAACUCCGGCGGCGAAAGCGAUUCUCUGGCCUAUUACUGACACUCAGUGUGCGAAAGCUAGGGGAGCAAACGGGAUUAGAUACCCCGGUAGUCCUAGCCGUAAACGAUGGGCACUAAGUAGAGGGGUUUU
rnacentral:rRNA from 1 species